GACGAACGCUGGCGGCGUGCCUAAUACAUGCAAGUCGAGCGGAAUGAUGAAGAAGCUUGCUUCUUCUGAUUUUUAGCGGCGGACGGGUGAGUAACACGUGGGCAACCUACCUUGUAGAUUGGGAUAACUCCGGGAAACCGGGGCUAAUACCGAAUAAUCCAUUUUGCUUCAUGGCGAGAUGUUGAAAGACGGUUUCGGCUGUCACUACAAGAUGGGCCCGCGGCGCAUUAGCUAGUUGGUAGGGUAAUGGCCUACCAAGGCGACGAUGCGUAGCCGACCUGAGAGGGUGAUCGGCCACACUGGGACUGAGACACGGCCCAGACUCCUACGGGAGGCAGCAGUAGGGAAUCUUCCACAAUGGACGAAAGUCUGAUGGAGCAACGCCGCGAGAGUGAAGAAGGUUUUUCGGAUCGUAAAACUCUGUUGUAAGGGAAGAACACGUACGAGAGUAACUGCUCGUACCUUGACGGUACCUUAUUAGAAAGCCACGGCUAACUACGUG
rnacentral:rRNA from 1 species